UAAUUAUUCAUUUAAUUAUUAAAAGUUGUUCAUGAAGAAAGAAAUGUUACCGCGGGAAAGGACGUCGGAAUGACGUCACACCGUCACGUCAUAUUUUCGCACCCGCCAUCUUAGUUGAAGUUUAUUGAGGACGGUACAACAAUGUCAUUGUGCAGCAACAAAUGGAACAGUAUCAUCGAUCUGACCUCGGUUGCGCAAGGGCGAAUAUGAGACACAAGAAUUCCGGCAGAUGCAAACAGAAGUGAUGGAUUUGUUGAGGAUUAAAUCAAAUAAUCCAGGAGCUGUGAAUCAGUAAACAAAAAUGGAUAAAGUCGAAACCAAAGAAGAAGCUUCUGAAAUAAUCUCGAAAAGUGUACGCGUUUUCUGAAAGAAAUUAAUAAAGAGUGUUGAUUACA